rnacentral:misc_RNA from 1 species
GAUGAAGAACGCAGCGAAAUGCGAUAAGUAAUGUGAAUUGCAGAAUUCAGUGAAUCAUCGGAUCUUUGAACGCACAUUGCGCCCGCCAGUAUUCUGGCGGGCAUGCCUGUUCGAGCGUCAUUUCAACCAUCAAGCCCCCGGCUUGUGUUGGGGACCUGCGGCUGCCGCAGGCCCUGAAAAGCAGUGGCGGGCUCGCUGUCACACCGAGCGUAGUAGCAUACAUCUCGCUCUGGGCGUGCUGCGGGUUCCGGCCGUUAAACCACCUUCAUAACCCAAGGUUGACCUCGGAUCAGGUAGGAAGACCCGCUGAACUUAAGCAUAUCAAUAAGCGGAGGA